GACGGAGGGGGCUAGCGUUGUUCGGAAUGACUGGGCGUAAAGGGCGCGUAGGCGGUCGAUCAAGUCAGGCGUGAAAGCCUCGGGCUUAACCUGAGAACUGCGCUUGAUACUGGUUGACUUGAGGACGAGAGAGGAAAGUGGAAUUCCGAGUGUAGAGGUGAAAUUCGUAGAUAUUCGGAGGAACAUCAGAGGCGAAGGCGGCUUUCUGGCUCGUCCCUGACGCUGAGGCGCGAAAGCGUGGGGAGCAAACAGG
rnacentral:rRNA from 1 species